ACAAAGGCUCUUUUAAGAGCCACCCACCUCCUCCUCUCAGAGCUC
rfam:Larimichthys crocea isolate SSNF unplaced genomic scaffold scaffold14, whole genome shotgun sequence.